UCGUCACACUAUCAUUAACUGAAUCCAUAGGUUAAUGAGGCGAACCGGGGGAACUGAAACAUCUAAGUACCCCGAGGAAAAGAAAUCAACCGAGAUUCCCCCAGUAGCGGCGAGCGAACGGGGAGGAGCCCAGAGCCUGAAUCAGCAUGUGUGUUAGUGGAAGCGUCUGGAAAGGCGCGCGAUACAGGGUGACAGCCCCGUACACAAAAGCGCAUGUGCUGUGAGCUCGAUGAGUAGGGCGGGACACGUGGUAUCCUGUCUGAAUAUGGGGGGACCAUCCUCCAAGGCUAAAUACUCCUGACUGACCGAUAGUGAACCAGUACCGUGAGGGAAAGGCGAAAAGAACCCCGGCGAGGGGAGUGAAAAAGAACCUGAAACCGUGUACGUACAAGCAGUGGGAGCACAGGUUUACCUGUGUGACUGCGUACCUUUUGUAUAAUGGGUCAGCGACUUAUAUUCUGUAGCAAGGUUAACCGAAUAGGGGAGCCGGAGGGAAACCGAGUCUUAAUUGGGCGUUAAGUUGCAGGGUAUAGACCCGAAACCCGGUGAUCUAGCCAUGGGCAGGUUGAAGGUUGGGUAACACUAACUGGAGGACCGAACCGACUAAUGUUGAAAAAUUAGCGGAUGACCUGUGGCUGGGGGUGAAAGGCCAAUCAAACCGGGAGAUAGCUGGUUCUCCCCGAAAGCUAUUUAGGUAGCGCCUCGUGAAUUCAUCUCCGGGGGUAGAGCACUGUUUCGGCUAGGGGGCCAUCCCGGCUUACCAACCCGAUGCAAACUGCGAAUACCGGAGAAUGUUAUCACGGGAGACACACGGCGGGUGCUAACGUCCGUCGUGAAGAGGGAAACAACCCAGACCGCCAGCUAAGGUCCCAAAGUCAUGGUUAAGUGGGAAACGAUGUGGGAAGGCCCAGACAGCCAGGAUGUUGGCUUAGAAGCAGCCAUCAUU
rnacentral:rRNA from 1 species